rnacentral:tRNA from 1 species
AGGGCUGUCGCCAAGAGGCCGAAGGCACAUGACUUUGACUCAUGCAUUUUUACGUUGGUUCGAAUCCAACCAGCCCUG